rnacentral:lncRNA from 1 species
CCCAGGCGCAGGCACACAGUAUAGUGGGGUCAAGCAUCUAGCUGACCUAAUUAAAAGCUCAUUACACUAGCCCAUCCCCAUUAACAGGCUGACCCACGUGCAAAUCCAUUAACGCAGGAUUCUUCCCUGCUUCCCAAAUCAGGAAUCCCAGCCGCAGCCCCGGGGCCUGGAAACUCCGGCCAGUUUAUUAAAGUGCCUUCCCCGCCUGUGACCAUCAGGCAAAGGGAGAAUCUUGCUGGGAAUCUCGCUUCUAGCCAAUGAGGAAUUUUCAGAAAAGCGAAAUGGAAUGCAUCAUUUUGACAUCUCUGCAGAUCUGUAUUCCGAAAGGUACUCAGAUAUCCACGAAGUCCUCCUCAUCUCACACCAUCGUUUCUCUCACUGGGCACAAUCCAGCUUUAAAGAAUUCAACACUUACUGGUCUUCAGAGGACUGUCAGCAAUGACAGCAACCAGGGAUGCUGACAUGUCUUGUUGUUUACAAAGGAUGAGCACAAGGCCUUUUGGAUAACCUGAUAAGCCCUGCAACUCCUCUCUCCCUGUUCCUCACCUCUCUGGACCAGCUGCCUUUGUGUGGUGAGCUAAAGAUGCAAAUAUUAAAACUUGAUCUAAACACCGACAAGUCAGCAAACAGCAGCAAAGAUAAAAUAAGGCUGCUCAAGGAUAUUGUGUAAAUCGUGAAAAUAGUAACAAGAAUAUUUCUG